rnacentral:rRNA from 1 species
AUUGAACGCUGGCGGCAGGCUUAACACAUGCAAGUCGAGCGGGGGGAGGUAGCUUGCUACCUAACCUAGCGGCGGACGGGUGAGUAAUGCUUAGGAAUCUGCCUAUUAGUGGGGGACAACAUUUCGAAAGGGAUGCUAAUACCGCAUACGCCCUAAGGGGGAAAGCAGGGGAUCUUCGGACCUUGCGCUAAUAGAUGAGCCUAAGUCGGAUUAGCUAGUUGGUGGGGUAAAGGCCUACCAAGGCGACGAUCUGUAGCGGGUCUGAGAGGAUGAUCGGCCACACUGGGACUGAGACACGGCCCAGACUCCUACGGGAGGCAGCAGUGGGGAAUAUUGGACAAUGGGGGGAACCCUGAUCCAGCCAUGCCGCGUGUGUGAAGAAGGCCUUUUGGUUGUAAAGCACUUUACGCGAGGAGGAGGCUACCGAGAUUAAUACUCUUGGAUAGUGGACGUUACUCGCAGAAUAAGCACCGGCUAACUCUGUGCCAGCAGCCGCGGUAAGAC